GGGUUGUGAGGUUAAGCGACUAAGCGUACACGGUGGAUGCCCUGGCAGUCAGAGGCGAUGAAGGACGUGCUAAUCUGCGAUAAGCGUCGGUAAGGUGAUAUGAACCGUUAUAACCGGCGAUUUCCGAAUGGGGAAACCCAGUGUGAUUCGUCACACUAUCAUUAACUGAAUCCAUAGGUUAAUGAGGCGAACCGGGGGAACUGAAACAUCUAAGUACCCCGAGGAAAAGAAAUCAACCGAGAUUCCCCCAGUAGCGGCGAGCGAACGGGGAGCAGCCCAGAGCCUGAAUCAGUGUGUGUGUUAGUGGAAGCGUCUGGAAAGGCGCGCGAUACAGGGUGACAGCCCCGUACACAAAAAUGCACAUGCUGUGAGCUCGAUGAGUAGGGCGGGACACGUGGUAUCCUGUCUGAAUAUGGGGGGACCAUCCUCCAAGGCUAAAUACUCCUGACUGACCGAUAGUGAACCAGUACCGUGAGGGAAAGGCGAAAAGAACCCCGGCGAGGGGAGUGAAAAAGAACCUGAAACCGUGUACGUACAAGCAGUGGGAGCACGCUUAGGCGUGUGACUGCGUACCUUUUGUAUAAUGGGUCAGCGACUUAUAUUCUGUAGCAAGGUUAACCGAAUAGGGGAGCCGAAGGGAAACCGAGUCUUAACUGGGCGUUAAGUUGCAGGGUAUAGACCCGAAACCCGGUGAUCUAGCCAUGGGCAGGUUGAAGGUUGGGUAACACUAACUGGAGGACCGAACCGACUAAUGUUGAAAAAUUAGCGGAUGACUUGUGGCUGGGGGUGAAAGGCCAAUCAAACCGGGAGAUAGCUGGUUCUCCCCGAAAGCUAUUUAGGUAGCGCCUCGUGAAUUCAUCUCCGGGGGUAGAGCACUGUUUCGGCAAGGGGGUCAUCCCGACUUACCAACCCGAUGCAAACUGCGAAUACCGGAGAAUGUUAUCACGGGAGACACACGGCGGGUGCUAACGUCCGUCGUGAAGAGGGAAACAACCCAGACCGCCAGCUAAGGUCCCAAAGUCAUGGUUAAGUGGGAAACGAUGUGGGAAGGCCCAGACAGCCAGGAUGUUGGCUUAGAAGCAGCCAUCAUUUAAAGAAAGCGUAAUAGCUCACUGGUCGAGUCGGCCUGCGCGGAAGAUGUAACGGGGCUAAACCAUGCACCGAAGCUGCGGCAGCGACGCUUAUGCGUUGUUGGGUAGGGGAGCGUUCUGUAAGCCUGUGAAGGUGUGCUGUGAGGCAUGCUGGAGGUAUCAGAAGUGCGAAUGCUGACAUAAGUAACGAUAAAGCGGGUGAAAAGCCCGCUCGCCGGAAGACCAAGGGUUCCUGUCCAACGUUAAUCGGGGCAGGGUGAGUCGACCCCUAAGGCGAGGCCGAAAGGCGUAGUCGAUGGGAAACAGGUUAAUAUUCCUGUACUUGGUGUUACUGCGAAGGGGGGACGGAGAAGGCUAUGUUGGCCGGGCGACGGUUGUCCCGGUUUAAGCGUGUAGGCUGGUUUUCCAGGCAAAUCCGGAAAAUCAAGGCUGAGGCGUGAUGACGAGGCACUACGGUGCUGAAGCAACAAAUGCCCUGCUUCCAGGAAAAGCCUCUAAGCAUCAGGUAACAUCAAAUCGUACCCCAAACCGACACAGGUGGUCAGGUAGAGAAUACCAAGGCGCUUGAGAGAACUCGGGUGAAGGAACUAGGCAAAAUGGUGCCGUAACUUCGGGAGAAGGCACGCUGAUAUGUAGGUGAAGCGACUUGCUCGUGGAGCUGAAAUCAGUCGAAGAUACCAGCUGGCUGCAACUGUUUAUUAAAAACACAGCACUGUGCAAACACGAAAGUGGACGUAUACGGUGUGACGCCUGCCCGGUGCCGGAAGGUUAAUUGAUGGGGUCAGCGCAAGCGAAGCUCUUGAUCGAAGCCCCGGUAAACGGCGGCCGUAACUAUAACGGUCCUAAGGUAGCGAAAUUCCUUGUCGGGUAAGUUCCGACCUGCACGAAUGGCGUAAUGAUGGCCAGGCUGUCUCCACCCGAGACUCAGUGAAAUUGAACUCGCUGUGAAGAUGCAGUGUACCCGCGGCAAGACGGAAAGACCCCGUGAACCUUUACUAUAGCUUGACACUGAACAUUGAGCCUUGAUGUGUAGGAUAGGUGGGAGGCUUUGAAGUGUGGACGCCAGUCUGCAUGGAGCCGACCUUGAAAUACCACCCUUUAAUGUUUGAUGUUCUAACGUUGACCCGUAAUCCGGGUUGCGGACAGUGUCUGGUGGGUAGUUUGACUGGGGCGGUCUCCUCCUAAAGAGUAACGGAGGAGCACGAAGGUUGGCUAAUCCUGGUCGGACAUCAGGAGGUUAGUGCAAUGGCAUAAGCCAGCUUGACUGCGAGCGUGACGGCGCGAGCAGGUGCGAAAGCAGGUCAUAGUGAUCCGGUGGUUCUGAAUGGAAGGGCCAUCGCUCAACGGAUAAAAGGUACUCCGGGGAUAACAGGCUGAUACCGCCCAAGAGUUCAUAUCGACGGCGGUGUUUGGCACCUCGAUGUCGGCUCAUCACAUCCUGGGGCUGAAGUAGGUCCCAAGGGUAUGGCUGUUCGCCAUUUAAAGUGGUACGCGAGCUGGGUUUAGAACGUCGUGAGACAGUUCGGUCCCUAUCUGCCGUGGGCGCUGGAGAACUGAGGGGGGCUGCUCCUAGUACGAGAGGACCGGAGUGGACGCAUCACUGGUGUUCGGGUUGUCAUGCCAAUGGCACUGCCCGGUAGCUAAAUGCGGAAGAGAUAAGUGCUGAAAGCAUCUAAGCACGAAACUUGCCCCGAGAUGAGUUCUCCCUGACCCUUUAAGGGUCCUGAAGGAACGUUGAAGACGACGACGUUGAUAGGCCGGGUGUGUAAGCGCAGCGAUGCGUUGAGCUAACCGGUACUAAUGAACCGUGAGGCUUAACCUUACAACGCCGAAG
rnacentral:rRNA from 1 species